CGGGUGAGUAACAUGUGAGUGACCUGCCUUUUAGACUGGAACAACUUACCGAAAGGUGAGCUAAUGCCGGAUGAGUUAUAUAAGUGCAUGUUUAUAUAGGAAAAGUUGGGGAGACCUGACGCUGAAAGAUGGACUCGCGUCCCAUUAGCUAGUUGGUAGGGUAAUGGCCUACCAAGGCGACGAUGGGUAGCCGGCCUGAGAGGGUGGCCGGCCACACUGGGACUGAGACACGGCCCAGACUCCUACGGAAGGCAGCAG
rnacentral:rRNA from 1 species